rnacentral:rRNA from 1 species
GACGGGGGGUGCAAGCGUUAAUCAGAAUGACUGGGCGUAAAGGGCGCGUAGGCGGUUGUUAAAGUUAGAUGUGAAAUAUUCGGGCUUAACCUGGGUGCUGCAUCUAAAACUAAAUAACUAGAGUUCAGUAGAGGAAAGCGGAAUUCCCGGUGUAGCAGUGAAAUGCAUAGAUAUCGGGAGGAACAUCAGUGGCGAAGGCGGCUUUCUGGACUGAAACUGACGCUGAGGCGCGAAGGCGUGGGGAGCAAACAGG